UACGUAGGGGGCAAGCGUUGUCCGGAAUCAUUGGGCGUAAAGAGCGUGUAGGCGGCCAGAUAAGUCCGCUGUGAAAUCUCGAGGCUCAACUUCGAGCUGUCGGUGGAAACUGUCUGGCUAGAGUCCGGAAGAGGAGAAUGGAAUUCCUGGUGUAGCGGUGAAAUGCGCAGAUAUCAGGAAGAACACCCGUGGCGAAGGCGGUUACCUGGACAGUUACUGACGCUCAGGCACGAAAGCGUGGGGAGCAAAAGGG
rnacentral:rRNA from 1 species